rnacentral:rRNA from 1 species
GCCAGACUCCUACGGGAGGCAGCAGUGAGGAAUAUUGGUCAAUGGGCGCGAGCCUGAACCAGCCAAGUCGCGUGAGGGAAGACGGUCCUAUGGAUUGUAAACCUCUUUUGCCGGGGAGCAGUGGUCCGGACGCGUCCGGACCGGGAGAGUACCCGGAGAAAAAGCAUCGGCUAACUCCGUGCCAGCAGCCGCGGUAAUACGGAGGAUGCGAGCGUUAUCCGGAUUUAUUGGGUUUAAAGGGUGCGCAGGCGGAGGUGCAAGUCAGCGGUCAAAUUGCGGGGCUCAACCCCGUACUGCCGUUGAAACUGCAUCCCUUGAGUGCGCGAGAAGUAUGCGGAAUGCGUGGUGUAGCGGUGAAAUGCAUAGAUAUCACGCAGAACCCCGAUUGCGAAGGCAGCAUACCGGCGCGCAACUGACGCUCAUGCACGAAAGCGUGGGUAUCGAACAGGAUUAGAUACCCUCGUAC